GGUGAGUAAUACAUCGGAACGUGUCCAGUAGCGGGGGAUAACCUGUCGAAAGAUAGGCUAAUACCGCAUACGACCUACGGGUGAAAGCGGGGGACCGCAAGGCCUCGCACUAUUGGAGCGGCCGAUGUCGGAUUAGCUAGUUGGCGGGGUAACGGCCCACCAAGGCGACGAUCCGUAGCUGGUCUGAGAGGACGACCAGCCACACUGGAACUGAGACACGGUCCAGACUCCUACGGGAGGCAGCAGUGGGGAAUUUUGGACAAUGGGCGCAGGCCUGAUCCAGCCAUGCCGCGUGAGUGAAGAAGGCCUUCGGGUUGUAAAGCUCUUUCGGCGGGGACGAAACGGUCCGUGACAACACCACGGACUAAUGACGGUACUCGCAGAAGAAGCACCGGCUAACUACGUGCCAGCAGCCGCGGUAAUACGUAGGGUGCGGGCGUUAAUCGGAAUUACUGGCGUAAAGCGUGCGCAGGCGGCUCCUUAAGUCAGAUGUGAAAUCCCCGGGCUUAACCUGGGAACUGCGUUUAAAACUGAGGGGCUCGAGUGUGGAAGAGGGGGGUGGAAUUCCAGGUGUAGCAGUGAAAUGCGUAGAGAUCUGGAGGAACACCGAUGGCGAAGGCAGCCCCCUGGGCUAACACUGACGCUCAUGUACGAAAGCGUGGGGAGCAAACAGGAUUAGAUACCCUGGUAGUCCACGCCCUAAACGAUGUCAACUGGUUGUCGGGGAAGCAAUUCCUUGGUAACGAAGCUAACGC
rnacentral:rRNA from 1 species